rnacentral:rRNA from 1 species
AUGGGGACGUCCAACAAGGAUUCAGACUCGAAGUUGUACGAGCUGAAUGAGCAACUUCUGCUGCUGGCCUCUCUGGUGACGACGGUGACGUAUCUCUCCGGGCUCAACCUGCUGGGGGGAAACUGGCAACAGAUGGAGGACGGGCACGUCGCCGGCAACCCGAUCCUCCGGUACACCGACAUCAGUAGGUAUCGCAUUUUAUACUCCUUUAAUGCCACGGCGUUCGCCUCGUCAGUCAUGGUCUGCCUCAUCCUCGUGAUGCUCCGGAGGAACAGAAAGGUCUGGACAAUGGUGCUGCCGGUGGUCAUGGUGGUCGACCUGCUCUCCGUCAUUGGUUCCUUCGCCGCCGGGACCUGCCGUGACGCCUUCACCACCAUCUUUGCCUCUGGGCUCGCCUUCGCAGUUUUGGCCUACAUUGCGUAUGCUUUCAUACCUUGCUACGUCAGGAGUUGGAACAGGGGCCGCGACAACACCCCCAUCCCCAUAAACACAAACAAGGGUUACAAAGAAAAGAAGAAGGUAGAGGUGUUGAUACUGCUGGCGACCUUCACCUUCACCAUCUCAUAUGCCACCGGGCUGAACCCGCCUGGUGGCUUCUGGAGCAGCACCCAGCAUGAGAAGGAGGAUGGCCGCCUUCUUCACCUCGCCGGCAACCCCAUCAUGGAGGACACCAGGCGCCGGAGGUACCGGGCCUUCUUUGUAUGCAACACCGUGGUGCUCCUCGCCUCCUUGCUCGUCAUCCUGCUGCUCCUGGCCAACAAGGUGAGCAGGAUCAUCUCAGCGCGGGUUGUCAGGAUCUACGGAUUCAUAGCGGUCGCCCUCCUGGGUCUCAUGGGGGCCUAUGCUACUGGGAGCUCCAGGGAGACGGAGAAUACCGUAAUGGUCAUCGUCUCCCUGUCCACCGUGAUUCCUGCCUGGGUGGGCCUGCAGCUGGCUCUUAAUUAUGUCUUUCAUUGGAAACCAAUCAGGAAUGUGCGUGACAAUUUCUCCCAAUGGUCAAAGAAAUCAAGUCCCGCAGGUGACAGCGCAGUUGCGAGCACAGUCUUCAAAAAUAAUUGCUAUUUGGCUAUGGUACUUGCUGGUUUUGCGGUAUGCAUCACUUACCAAGCAGGAAUGGAUCCACCGGGUGGCCUCUGGCAAGACAACCUGGAUGGGCAUGAGAUUGGGCGUCCUGUGCUACAGACUACACAUCAUGCACGCUACCAGGUUUUCUUCUACAGCAACUCCGCAGCUUUCGUGACAUCUCUGGUACUGGUCAUGAUGGUACAGAGCAAGUUCCUGCUCACGCUCCACACUUUGGAGGGAUGCAUGGUGCUGGACCUGAUCUGCCUCGUCACCGCCUAUGCCGCAGGGAGCACCAGAGAUGCAAAAAGGUCCAUCUAUGUUGUCAUCGUGAUUGGCCUUAUCCUCAUCUACAUCGCCGUCCAUGUUUGUGCGGUAGGCCUGAAGGAGAACGUGGUUGCUGAACCUGUUCCUGUUCCUGCUGCUACUACAUCUGCUCCUGCUUUUGCAAGGCGAGUAGCUGGGGAACGAAGCAGCAACCAGCAGCUGGAUGACAAUGGUCAAGUGCUGCGUCUAAUCGCCAUCUUAGCCGCGGCACUUACGUACCAAGCCGGGCUGUCCCCGCCUGGCGGCUUCUGGCCGGCGGAUGACGAGCAGCUUGGCCACCGCGCGGGCUACCCCGUCCUGCUCGACAACUACCCGCGCCGCUACAGUGCCUUUUUCUACUGCAACGCCGUCAGCUUCAUGGCGUCGGUGGCUGUCAUUCUACUCCUCGUGAACCAAAAGCUGUACAGGCGAGUGAUACGGGGCUACCGGCUCCACGCGUGCAUGGCGUUGGGCAUGUACGCUCUCAUGGGUGCCUAUGCUUCCGGGAGCUCCCGCCAUCUCAAGACUAGCAUCUACAUGCUGACCAUGGUGAUGGCGGUGGUACUACUGCCGGUAUGUAUCUUCUCAUACAACCGCUUCGUCAGGUACAGGAUCAAGCAUCAAGUUGAGCCUACAACAAGACCACGACGACGA